AAAGCCCUGCAGAACCUCAUGGACUAUAAAGGGUCAUCAUCCACUACAGGAGCAGCUGGUAAACAGAUAUUUCUGCAUACUGUCAUCAUUGUUAAUUCUUAGAUUAAUAGUUGUUCUUUUUUUAAAUUUUUUUAAUACUCGUUACCCUAGAUCAAUUAUGUCCUGGAUGUGACAAGACCUGGAAGUGAGCUCAUCAUCAAAGACGGACCAACUUGCCUUUCCAGAAGUGACAUCUUGACCCUUGGACUUCAGAGAGACAUGGAUGCAAUGGGACGGGAUGUUUUUGUCGCUGACCUGCAUGUGACACGAACAUGGCUACCUCCCACCAACUGCGAUCCCCUGCUCCAUUUCCCAAAAGAUGCUGACCAGAAAGAUGCCAUCAUCAUCCCACUGUGGAUUCCAGGGCAUUUUCUGCUGAGCGUAAGAACAUUAUACCAUUUACACAACAAUUUUGUGAGUGGCAUACAAUAUCAACAUAACAUGUUAGGACAUAUGUUGUAGAUGAUGUCUGUGUUUUAACCUUAAAGUCAUUUGUGAGUUUCCUGUGGUUUUUGGCUAAUUGUACAUCUGUUCUAUUUUCUGUAGGUAAUGAGGCCACUCCAGAAAGAAAUUUCAUUUCUGGAUUCCCAUUAUUUCAGAAGAGCAGAUGGUUUCUCCAGUCAGGCCUACAGGAAUCUGUUGAGGUUGUCAGUGUUGUGUGUCCUAGUGGUCACGUUAUCCUGACCUGCCAAUGUUUACAAAAAUUUCCCAAAAUAAGUUUAAUCAGGGGGCAAUGUGAUAAUAAAUGUACCCCGCUCUGCACAUUUGUUAUAGGGUCAGAUGAGAUUUGCUUCAAAUAGCUGAAAGUGAAGAAAAUAGACAAAUAUGAAAUGCAAUGAAAAGGGGAGGAAGACAGAAAGACAACAUCCUUUUUGAACUUUAGGAAAUUAUGAAUAUUUACCAAUUUGCAUGGUCCCGUUCUUGGACAUGUUACCCGUUCUGUGGAUUACAGAUAUUAGGCAUGUUUCCAUUAGCAGAACUCCAGGGUAGUUCCUGGAAUGGGGAACUUGACCAGGAGAUAGGAUGUCCCAGUCCUCUCAGCUGUUGUGUCUCCAUUCAAAUUCAGCCCUUUCAGAACUUCCACAGACAACAGCAUAUCACGACUGCUUUGGCAGUGACUGACGUCAAUGAUCAGCCCAAAAAAAGCACCCUAUAUGACAUUAAUAAUAAUAAAAGCAUUUAUUUUAUAGAAGUAUGUUCUAAUUUAAUCCAUUCGGAGGACAAGAGCAGCUCUGAAUUUUGAGACACAAGCCCCUUUAAUUAAGUCUGUGGUGGAUUUUUACCGUUUUGUCCAACAGCUGUGGGGGGAUUACACAGAGUCUUCCAGUGUUGGGAAUUAGACUUUUAAUGCGAUCGGUGCCUUUUUUUCAUUCUGCAUCACCAGCUACUCUUCUAAUUAUACUGAUGCCAGUUGUUUUUGACGUCUGCUGAUGUCAUUUCCUACUGAGUUACAACCAGUCAGCUACUCCAGAGCAGGUACUCAGAAGGUUCCUGAAAACGGCCGUUUGACAUGUCGGGAGGUUCCUGUAAAUCUAUCCUCAAGUUCUUGUAGUGGAAACACGCCUAUUGAUACGGUUCACAUGCCAUCAAUUUCUUAUAUUUUUUAUCUCUUACAAAAUCAUAGCAGCAUACAGCUUUUUAAGUUUUACAUUGUUGUUGUUUUUUGUUUUUUGUUUGGGUUACUCAGAGAUGUUACACAGCAGACAGCUGUGGGAACCUGGGUGGAGAAAACUGCUCUGGAUUUGGAGGUAUUGCCUGCAAUAUCAAAAUUAAACUGAAAUGUAAUUAUCGGUUAUUUGUUUAAUUUAACUGUCAUACAGGGUGUUCCUAAGCAGACACAUGGCAAUGAUUGUGGUGUCUUCAUGAUAAUGGUAAGUGACGGUAAUGCCGUAUACAAUAACGUGACACACGAUUUUUGUAUUCUUUUGUUGGAUAUCUUAUUUAUAAUUGCAUCUUUAAGCCAAUAAAUUUUUCUAUAUGACGUUAAUUGAGUUCCAGGUACAGAAGCUGGAGCCACUGAUUGGAUAACAUGUAGUAUUUUGCAUGGCUUCAAUUGAAGAACUAUGUUAGGUUCAUGUAAAGCUACAUUACACAAUUGAAUUACUUUAAAUCAACACAGUAACAAAACAAAACCACAACAAAAACAGCAUUACAUAAAGUUAAUAAAUGGAUUGUGGACAGUGCUAAUUCUAUCCAUGCAGUUUAUCAUGUCUUCUCUAAUAUACAGUUUAUUGUAAUGAUCUGCACUACAUAUUUUAGUGUAAAUGUGUGCCCACUCUGUCACUGAGCAGUCUC